CUAGGAAUAUCGAUCGCUAGGGUUCCUUUAGGAUCAGUAGCGAUAGGGUCUCGUGAAGACAGGUGUUUGGCAUCGUUGGUGGUUUUGUUUGCGAGUUGCGAUUGGCAACCUGGUUCAGCAAGUGUUGGACUUGCAAGGGGUUUUGUUGGAUUGUUUGUACCUAAUUGGGAUAUCGAGUGGACAAAAUUGUCAAGCUCAAUUGGUAUU
rnacentral:lncRNA from 1 species